UGGGGAAUAUUGGACAAUGGACCAAAAGUCUGAUCCAGCAAUUCUGUGUGCUUGAUGAAGGCCUUCGGGUUGUAAAGAGCUUUAAGUAGGGAAGAAGAAAGUGACGGUACCUACAGAAUAAGCGACGGCUAAAUACGUGCCAGCAGCCGCGGUAAUACGUAUGUCGCAAGCGUUAUCCGGAAUUAUUGGGCAUAAAGGGCGUCUAGGCGGUUUAGAAAGUCUGAUGUGAAAAUGCGGGGCUCAACCCCGUAUUGCGUUGGAAACUACUAGACUAGAGUAUUGGAGAGGUAAGCGGAACUACAAGUGUAGAGGUGAAGUUCGUAGAUAUUUGUAGGAAUGCCAAUUGGGAAGCCAGCUUACUGGACAAAUACUGACGCUGAAGCGC
rnacentral:rRNA from 1 species